GCUGGGUGUGGUGGCGUGCACCUGUAAUCCCAGCUACUCGGGAGGCUGAGGCAGGAGAAUCGCUUGAACCCAGGAGGCGGAGGUUGCAGCAAGCUGAGAUUGCACCACUGAACUCCAGCCUGGAUGACAGAGCGAGACUCUGUCUCAA
rnacentral:SRP_RNA from 1 species